GAUGAAGAACGCAGCGAAAUGCGAUAAGUAGUGUGAAUUGCAGAAUUCAGUGAAUCAUCGAGUUUUUGAACGCAUAUUGCGCCCUCUGGUAUUCCGGGGGGCAUGCCUGUUCGAGCGUCAUUAAAUAACCCUCAAGCAUAGCUUGGUGUUGGGCUUUUUUACGUCCUUGACUGGGAUGGGCCUAAAAAUUAGUGGCGAUGGCUUUUUUACUUUCAAGCGUAGUAAAUCUCGUCUUGCUAAAGAGGAAAAAGAUUUUUUUUCUGCCAAAAAUUUUAACAUUUAAAGUUGACCUCGGAUCAGGUAGGAUUACCCGCUGAACUUAAGCAUAUCAAUAAGCGGAGGA
rnacentral:misc_RNA from 1 species